rnacentral:rRNA from 1 species
UACGUAGGUGGCAAGCGUUGUCCGGAUUUACUGGGCGUAAAGGGCGUGCAGGCGGUCUGUUAAGUGCAGGGUGAAAGCUCCCGGCUCAACUGGGAGAGGUCCUUGCAUACUGGCGGACUUGAGGGGGGUAGAGGAAAGUGGAAUUCCCGGUGUAGUGGUGAUAUGCGUAGAUAUCGGGAGGAACACCUGUGGCGAAGGCGGCCCCCUGGUUGGAUACUGACGCUGAUACGCGAAAGCGUGGGGAGCAAACAGG